UCCACCGCGAGGUGGAAUCUGAAGGAAGUCGGCGGCAAAGCUCUGGUCUGAGGAACACGAACUACAUAUAAGGCAUAUGUCUGCCGGGUGAGUUUGCCUAACAAAACAAAGCCCUAAACUAUUCGAAGCGGACGGUAUAAAUGUAGCAGAUAGAUGGAGUGAAAGUAAGCGUU
rfam:Pelosinus fermentans B4 ctg34, whole genome shotgun sequence.